UGUAAGCGUAUACCAAAGUUGUUGCAGUUAAAACGCUCGUAGUCGGAAUUUGGCAGUUCCGGAUGUGUGCACGUCGUGUGCGCACUUUGCGGGGAUUGCUUUUGUGGUCUUGCGUAGGAUGAGGCACUUUUAUUAGUGAACGUCCUCACGCAACCACUUUUUACUGUGAGAAAAUCAGAGUGCUCAAAGCAGGCAUUUGCCGUGAAUGUAUUAGCAUGGAAUAAUAGAAUAGGACUCGGUUCUAUUUUGUUGGUUUGUUGGGACUGAGUAAUGGUUAAGAGGGACAGUUGGGGGCAUUUGUAUUUCGGUGCUAGAGGUGAAAUUCUUAGAUUACCGAAAGACAAACUGCUGCGAAAGCGUCUGCCAAGGAUGUUUUCAUUGA
rnacentral:rRNA from 1 species